rnacentral:rRNA from 1 species
CCUAGGGUGGCUGCAGUGGGGAAUAUUGGACAAUGGGCGAAAGCCUGAUCCAGCCAUGCCGCGUGUGUGAAGAAGGCCUUCGGGUUGUAAAGCACUUUCAGUGGGGAAGAAAGCCUUGGGGCUAAUACCCUCGAGGAAGGACAUCACCCACAGAAGAAGCACCGGCUAACUCCGUGCCAGCAGCCGCGGUAAUACGGAGGGUGCGAGCGUUAAUCGGAAUUACUGGGCGUAAAGCGCGCGUAGGCGGUCUGAUAAGCCGGUUGUGAAAGCCCCGGGCGCAACCUGGGAACGGCAUCCGGAACUGUCAGGCUAGAGUGCAGGAGAGGAAGGUAGAAUUCCCGGUGUAGCGGUGAAAUGCGUAGAGAUCGGGAGGAAUACCAGUGGCGAAGGCGGCCUUCUGGACUGACACUGACGCUGAGGUGCGAAAGCGUGGGUAGCAAACAGGAGUAGAUACCCCAUAGUC